UAGGCAUUAGUGUUUAAUGCAUAUAAAUCUUUGAAAUUUAAGGAAAUAGUUUACUAUUAUGUCUAA
rnacentral:tRNA from 1 species